UACGUAGGGGGCAAGCGUUGUCCGGAUUUAUUGGGCGUAAAGAGCGUGUAGGCGGUCAGGUAGGUCAGCUGUGAAAACUCGAGGCUCAACCUCGAGACGCCGAUGGAAACCAUCAGACUAGAGUCCGGAAGAGGAGAGUGGAAUUCCUGGUGUAGCGGUGAAAUGCGCAGAAUAUCAGGAAGAACACCCGUGGCUAAGGCGGCUCUCUAGUACGGUACUGACGCUGAGACGCGAAAGCGUGGGGAGCGAACAGG
rnacentral:rRNA from 1 species